GCAAGUACAUUAACUUUUUUUAGAACCAAUAAGAGUAGACACAAAUUGAUUCAGGAAACUUUUACCUAGCUACUGUACGAUUACAAAUCGUUUAACACUAAAAGAAAGAUCAGACUAAUAAUUACACGGAGUUCCAAAUACCAAUUCCUAUUCAGACAUUGGUGAUUUUUCUUAGGGAUUUAUAUGAAUUAUUCAAAAAUAAAAUUUGCUCACUUUUCUUGAGUCGCAUGAUAU
rnacentral:misc_RNA from 1 species